rnacentral:rRNA from 1 species
UACGUAGGGUGCAAACGUUGUUCGGAAUCACUGGGCAUAAAGAGCGCGUAGGCGGUCUGACAAGUCCCCUGUGAAAGCCCCCGGCUUAACCGGGGAACUGCAUGGGAUACUGUUGGGCUAGAGUGCAGGAGGGGAGAGCGGAAUUCCUGGUGGAGCGGUGAAAUGCGUAGAUAUCAGGAGGAACGCCGGCGGCGAAAGCGGCGCACUGGAUUUCUUCUGACGCUGAGGCGCGAAAGCCAGGGGAGCAAACGGG